CCCUCGAUAGCUCAGUUGGAAGAGCGUGAGACUGUAAUUGGUUACCCCAGCGCAUCUCAAGGUCGAAGGUUCGAGCCCAUCUCGAGGGA